rnacentral:rRNA from 1 species
GUCUUGUAAUUGGAAUGAUGGAAAUUUAAACCCUUUUUAAAGUAUCAAUUGGAGGGCAAGUCUGGUGCCAGCAGCCGCGGUAAUUCCAGCUCCAAUAGCGUAUAUUAAAAUUGUUGCAGUUAAAAAGCUCGUAGUUGAAGUUCUGCUAAGCUGGCCUGUCUGCUUUCUGAUAAGUGGUAUUGUGGCGUGUAUUAAGUAAUGAUGUCCAUUGAAGUGUUUUUUACUUUAUUGUAAUAAAGCAUAUUCAGGACUUUUACUUUGAGAAAAUUAGAGUGUUUCUAGCAGGCCGACGCUUUGAAUACUGCAGCAUGGAAUAAUAAGAUAGGAUUUUAGUUCUACAUUAUUGGUUUUAAGAGCUAAAUUAAUGAUUGAUAGGGACAGUUGGGGGCAUUUGUAUUUAACUGUCAGAGGUGAAAUUCUUAGAUUUGUUAAAGACAAACUACUGCGAAAGCAUUUGCCAAAGAUGUUUUCAUUAAUCAAGAACGAAAGUUAGGGGAUCGAAGACGAUCAGAUACCGUCGUAGUCCUAAACCAUAAACUA